rnacentral:rRNA from 1 species
AAAUUGAAGAGUUUGAUCAUGGCUCAGAUUGAACGCUGGCGGCAGGCCUAACACAUGCAAGUCGAACGGUAACAGGAAGCAGCUUGCUGCUUUGCUGACGAGUGGCGGACGGGUGAGUAAUGUCUGGGAAACUGCCUGAUGGAGGGGGAUAACUACUGGAAACGGUGGCUAAUACCGCAUAACGUCGCAAGACCAAAGAGGGGGCCUUCGGGCCUCUUGCCAUCAGAUGUGCCCAGAUGGGAUUAGCUUGUUGGUGAGGUAACGGCUCACCAAGGCGACGAUCCCUAGCUGGUCUGAGAGGAUGACCAGCCACACUGGAACUGAGACACGGUCCAGACUCCUACGGGAGGCAGCAGUGGGGAAUAUUGCACAAUGGGCGCAAGCCUGAUGCAGCCAUGCCGCGUGUAUGAAGAAGGCCUUCGGGUUGUAAAGUACUUUCAGCGGGGAGGAAGGUGUUGCGGUUAAUAACCGCAGCAAUUGACGUUACCCGCAGAAGAAGCACCGGCUAACUCCGUGCCAGCAGCCGCGGUAAUACGGAGGGUGCAAGCGUUAAUCGGAAUUACUGGGCGUAAAGCGCACGCAGGCGGUCUGUCAAGUCGGAUGUGAAAUCCCCGGGCUCAACCUGGGAACUGCAUUCGAAACUGGCAGGCUUGAGUCUUGUAGAGGGGGGUAGAAUUCCAGGUGUAGCGGUGAAAUGCGUAGAGAUCUGGAGGAAUACCGGUGGCGAAGGCGGCCCCCUGGACAAAGACUGACGCUCAGGUGCGAAAGCGUGGGGAGCAAACAGGAUUAGAUACCCUGGUAGUCCACGCCGUAAACGAUGUCUACUUGGAGGUUGUGCCCUUGAGGCGUGGCUUCCGGAGCUAACGCGUUAAGUAGACCGCCUGGGGAGUACGGCCGCAAGGUUAAAACUCAAAUGAAUUGACGGGGGCCCGCACAAGCGGUGGAGCAUGUGGUUUAAUUCGAUGCAACGCGAAGAACCUUACCUGGUCUUGACAUCCACAGAAGAAUCCAGAGAUGGAUUUGUGCCUUCGGGAACUGUGAGACAGGUGCUGCAUGGCUGUCGUCAGCUCGUGUUGUGAAAUGUUGGGUUAAGUCCCGCAACGAGCGCAACCCUUAUCCUUUGUUGCCAGCGGUCCGGCCGGGAACUCAAAGGAGACUGCCAGUGAUAAACUGGAGGAAGGUGGGGAUGACGUCAAGUCAUCAUGGCCCUUACGACCAGGGCUACACACGUGCUACAAUGGCGCAUACAAAGAGAAGCGACCUCGCGAGAGCAAGCGGACCUCAUAAAGUGCGUCGUAGUCCGGAUUGGAGUCUGCAACUCGACUCCAUGAAGUCGGAAUCGCUAGUAAUCGUGGAUCAGAAUGCCACGGUGAAUACGUUCCCGGGCCUUGUACACACCGCCCGUCACACCAUGGGAGUGGGUUGCAAAAGAAGUAGGUAGCUUAACCUUCGGGAGGGCGCUUACCACUUUGUGAUUCAUGACUGGGGUGAAGUCGUAACAAGGUAACCGUAGGGGAACCUGCGGUUGGAUCACCUCCUUA